rnacentral:rRNA from 1 species
CCUACGGGUGGCUGCAGUCGAGGAUCUUCGGCAAUGGGCGCAAGCCUGACCGAGCGACGCCGCGUGCGGGAUGAAGGCCUUCGGGUUGUAAACCGCUGUCGUAGAGGAGGAAAUGCAGGGGGGUUCUCCCUUCUGUUUGACCUAUUCUAGGAGGAAGUACGGGCUAAGUUCGUGCCAGCAGCCGCGGUAAGACGAACCGUACAAACGUUACUCGGAAUUACUGGGCUUAAAGGGUGCGUAGGCUGCGCGGAAAGUUGGGUGUGAAAGCCCUCAGCUCAACUGGGGAAUUGCAUUCAAAACUACCGUGCUCGAGGGAGACAGAGGUAAGCGGAACUCAAGGUGGAGCGGUGAAAUGCGUUGAUAUCUUGAGGAACACCGGUGGCGAAGGCGGCUUACUGGGUCUCUUCUGACGCUGAGGCACGAAAGCUAAGGUAGCAAACGGGAUUAGAUACCCUUGUAGUC